rnacentral:rRNA from 1 species
UACAGAGGGGGCAAGCGUUAUUCGGAAUUAUUGGGCGUAAAGGGCUCGUAGGCGGUUCGUCACGUCGGGAGUGAAAACUCGGAGCUUAACUCCGAGCCUGCUUCCGAUACGGGCAGGCUAGAGUUCGGUAGGGGAGACUGGAAUCCCUGGUGUAGCGGUGAAAUGCGCAGAUAUCAGGAGGAACACCGGUGGCGAAGGCGGGUCUCUGGGCCGAUACUGACGCUGAGGAGCGAAAGCGUGGGGAGCGAACAGG